GACGAACGCUGGCGGCGUGCUUAACACAUGCAAGUCGAACGCUGAACCCGCUUCGGUGGGGGAUGAGUGGCGAACGGGUGAGUAACACGUGGGCAACCUGCCCCCGGCUCUGGGAUAACUCCAAGAAAUUGGGGCUAAUACCGGAUGUGACCGCUGGCCGCAUGGUCUGGUGGUGGAAAGGGUUUCCGGCUGGGGAUGGGCCCGCGGCCUAUCAGCUUGUUGGUGGGGUAGUGGCCUACCAAGGCGACGACGGGUAGCCGGCCUGAGAGGGUGACCGGCCACACUGGGACUGAGACACGGCCCAGACUCCUACGGGAGGCAGCAGUGGGGAAUAUUGCGCAAUGGGCGGAAGCCUGACGCAGCGACGCCGCGUGGGGGAUGACGGCCUUCGGGUUGUAAACCCCUUUCAGCAGGGACGAAGCGCAAGUGACGGUACCUGCAGAAGAAGCACCGGCCAACUACGUG
rnacentral:rRNA from 1 species